AGUGAACGUUGGUGGCGUGGAUUAGGCAUGCAAGUCGAGCGAGAACCGUAGCAAUACGGGGACAGCGGCGAAAGGGACAGUAAUGUGUAGGUACCUACCUCCGGGUUCGGGAUAGCUGCGGGAAACUGCAGGUAAUACCGAAUAACGUCUCCGGACCAAAGGUGUGAUUCCACCUGGAGAGGGGCCUGCAUCCUAUUAGCUUGUUGGCGGGGUAACGGCCCACCAAGGCGACGAUGGGUAGCGGGUGUGAGAGCACGACCCGCGUCAUUGGGGCUGAGACACGGCCCAGACCCCUACGGGUGGCUGCAGUCGUGAAUCUUCGGCAAUGGGCGCAAGCCUGGCCGAGCGACGCCGCGUGCGGGAUGAAGGCCUUCGGGUUGUAAACCGCUGUCGUAGAGGAGGAAAUGCAGGGGGGUUCUCCCCUCUGUUUGACCUAUUCUAGGAGGAAGUACGGGCUAAGUUCGUGCCAGCCGCCGCCGUAA
rnacentral:rRNA from 1 species